ensembl:lncRNA
GUGGAGCUCCCGCUGCGGCCGUAAUGACUGCGAGCGCGGGAACGCGCCGCGCUGGGGCCGGAGGAGCGGAGCGGGGCGGGAGGGAAAGGGCCGCCCGAAGUUCGCUGCCUCUGCCGACGGGAUCCUCCGCCGCCCCUUUCUCCUCCCCAUGUAAAUAGACGAGCAGGUCUCCCGUCGAGGAGGAAAUGGGCAAUAACGACGCGAUAAACGUGUUCGCUGUGUAAUCAUUGCGGUAAUUUGCAGAACUGUUCUCUUCGCCCCCAGCCCACCUGAGGGGAGCGAUUGCGCUCGGACGUGACACGGAACUGCUGAGGACGUGGCAGCGCGCUGCUGUUUGGCAGUUCCAGGCUAUGAAAUCAAUCGUAUACGUAUAUUUGGUCAGAACUUGUCCCAGAGCAGCGCACGGUUCUUUGAGAGCUCAGUUAGAACGGCCGGUUCCCUGCUGUAAGGUGCUGGGAGACCGCACAGCGCCCAGCGAAUGGAAAACCUGUCCUGUGCUUGGGACACGGAGAGCCGCGGGCCGGACGGCGUUCUGAGCCGUGUUUCAGUUAAAGAGCUCUGCAGAACGGAGCGCUGAGCCAACGUGGUCAGCAGAGCCGGGCGAGCCCGUAAAUUACCUCUGUCAGGCUCCCAGUGCCUGUUACAAAGUACCUUUUUACGCUGAACUUAAGCUCUGCACUUGAGACAGCAGAUGUGAGGUGAUGCUUUCCAAAAGCAACACAGAUGCUGUGCAAUUUCCAUCGCAAUAUUUCAGCGAGGAAGCUCAGGAGACAUGCCGAAUGCUGCAGUUUAGAAUUACACUGUAACUCUCCCAGAAAUAAGAGAAUACCAAGUUUCUCAAUAGCGUGCUUGGCUGCAGUUUUGCUGUCGUUCAUAUAUGCUCUUGUUUUCUUACAGUGAGAGAAGAGAUGCAGUGUGAAGAUGCUGAGCGUCCUGAAGCUGUUCAGUAACAAAGCAGGAACUAUGGAACUUCGUAGCAGUUUAAAAAUGAUGACGUACCCAAAUUUCCUUGGAAGACUGUGAUAAUUUCUCUAAUUGUCUUUCAGAUAUAUAAAACAGCGCAGCCGUGGGGAGGGCGCUCUGCUUUAUGUGACUGAAAAGCAGCCUGGAUAGCUUACAGCUGUGGAGUCACAGCCGUUGUGUGCUCCUCCAGCAGAGGCUUCACUGAAGUCACUGGAAGCACUGAGAUGAAGGAACCAGGGCUCAGGUCUUAAAAAUGGGCUGUGUGUUUUUUUCCAGAAAAUACAACAGCUGCUUUUCCUGAAAAACUGUGCUUUGCUGUAGCCGUACAGAUUACUUGAGAACACUUUGUAGUGGUUUCCAAACAGACGUCCAGUCAUCACACCAUGCAGAAAUAGAAAACCCGCAGAUGAAGGCAAAAGUGUUACAGAUGCUGCAACUCUUUGCAAACCUGUAGAUUUGGCAACAAGUAGUUAAUGCUUGGGCAAGUCUUUGUUGCCACAAAUGUUGGUGCCACUUCAGUUCAAACAUCCUGGCUAUUGCUUGUCAUUGGAUUCUCUAAGCCUAAUUUCUGUCUGCUUUUAAGGCUUUGCUCAUUUGAUUGCAUAGGUCACAUCAAACCAAAUAAUGGCAACUACAGAGCUUUUAGUUUGAAAGGCCACAAAGCUUCAUCCAGAGACUGUUUCUGCAGUGAUUACCUACAGGACAUGGGAUUUUGCAUGGACAGCAUGGGAUUUUGCAUGGGCAGCAUGUUGAACGACACCAUGAAAUGAGAAAGUAGAGCUUUGUGAGAACAGAGUAAAGGGCAAGUAGAGGAAAGAAUAUCUUUGCAGUUCAGACUUUUUUCCCACGUGCCACGUGUGGUCCCAAACUGAGCAGUGUGAUGAGCAGUCCAAGUAUGGGAAGGAAUGCAUUGAUAUGCACUUCUGGAAGUCAGCAAAGCAGGCAUUAUGAGUAAAAAUCCAGCUCUAUAAACUUGCAAAGAAAAAAACAGGGAUUGGAGAGUACAAGUAUGCACAAAUAUCCUAUAUUUUGAUAGGUAUUUUUCCUUUCACAGAGGAGUUAAAUAGCAUUGACACAACUUCUGAGACAGCCUAUAUUUUAUUGUGAUUCUUGAGAACUCCUUGUAGACAAGAAGAAGAAUGUUUUGUUUAUAACUUUUCAGGGUUAUCAAAUCUGGUUGCCAGUGGGCCCACUACCAUGAUGGUCAUACAGGAGAGAGACUUCUGGGAGAAAAAAAAUACACUGUGCGUGAUCUGUUGUGUUUGCUACUUCUAGGGUGCAGUGAGCAGGCGACAGAGAAGGAGAAGAAACUGCUGGAAGAUUGCUUUGCUGUCCCUUUACUACAAAGGAGGAUGACAAAGUGAUUGAUCAGUGCUGUGUUCUGAGGACUGCUCCAGCAGUGCAGCAGUGAAGCUGCAGGUUGUGGCUGGAGGAUUUUCUGCAGAAAAGAAGCAUAGGCCUUGAUUAGACUCCUUCCUGAGGCUGCUUUGGAUGUGUUGGCUUAGCGAGAAGCAGCAUGAACAGCAGAAUCAGCAUAGGAAGUUAGUGGCAGCCGCAGUUUAGCAUGAGGACAACAUAAGGUAAAGGUGUAUCAAAAGGUUUACCUUUAUUCCCGCACACCAUGCAGUCAGGGAUUGGGCUGCAAUGUCCGUGUUGUUUUAUAAUGCCUCAUUUCCCUUUGGUGAAACAACAGAGGAGGAAGGAAUGCAAGAAAACAUGGUUUGUGAGGAUUAUAAAUGAAAUUAAACGUUCUGAGGGCAAUCCUUUUGUUUUGUUUUGUUUUGUUUUCCAUAGUAAUGGUUUUCAAUUUUGCCUAUUAUGUAGCAAGCUUUACUUACUUUCCACCUGUGCUACAGGUUGUAAUACCUCAUGGUGUGAUGUGACUUUUAAAGAUAAGCUUUUAGUUUUCCUGCAUUAAAUAGUCAAUGUUUUUUUUUGUUUUGUUUCGUUUUUGCCGUUGUUGUUGUUUUGGUUUUUGGUUUUUUUUUUUUUUUUUUCAUUUUUACUAUACAUGGAGAAUAAUACAAAUAUCAUGCUGUUCAGUAUCUACACACGAGGUAUUUAUGGAUGUAAUCCUCUGACUGCCCAGGUAACCAGUCACUUACUUUAAAGCAACUGCUAGAUCAUUAAUGUGUAAGUGUACUCUUGAAUUGAGGUAAGGUUAUGUGGAUCGAGGCUGGCAAGAAGAUUGGUCUCUGGUGCUAAUAUGAGAAUAUACACAUGCAGUGUUCACUCUUAAAAGCCAAAGCUUGUCCCAGUGAGAGUACUGAAGCCCUCCAGCAUGCCAGUGACAUUUGUGGUGAUACAAUUCUCUCCUUAUGCUUCAUCAAAAUGUUGUUAAUGCUCAUACAUGCUCAAAUGGCACAUGCGCCAUCUUUACUCCCAGCAUGGGCUGUGAAGCCUUUUUGAUGAAUCUUCAUUUUUGAGAACUUUAGUUUUAUCAGUUCGGGUAUAAACCCCUGCAAAUUUUCUCAUAAAUGUUCAUUGCCAUCUAGCUUACCUGACUGAGCUGUAACCGUCUGAGGUGAAUGGCUUGCAAAUAAGAAUUACCAUCUGAAGAUGGUCUGGCAUGCGUGUAUCUGGUUUUCAAUGUCAGAAUGUUCUGGAGGAAUGAAGGGGACCCUUGUUUUUUAACUUGACUUCUGUUAACUUCAAAGUAUCCAUGUUUGAGCAUAUUUCUGAGUGUUGAAUUUACAGGUUAUAUGGAAGAAUCAGAAUGGAGAAGCUGGGGAGUGCAGAGUUCUUUCUCAUAUGCUGUGAAUCAAUUUUGGAAUGACUCAGUUGCUACAUUGUGAGCAAGCGUGUGACUCCUGCCAAGAAAUAUAGCCCAGCCGGUGUACUAUUCUGUACUACAGAAUACAGCCUGGUAGAAGUAGACUUGAAAGUCAAGCUUUGAGCCAAGGAUGCCCCAUCUGCCAGCAGGGUCACAGUGGGGGAGUUGUGUGACUGGAAACAACCACAAGGAAGGAGAUGCACAACAGACAUUUAAGCCUAACAAGUAUCAACUUUGUCUCUCGUGGUGUUAGUUGGGUUCUUCUCUGUCUGGUUCGGGUGCUUUCUGGAUGACACGUUGUCAAGUGUUGCAAUGGAUGUUGGGGUCCCAGGAAAAGGCGUGAUAAUGUCCAGAAUGGGAUAAUUCACUCCUUAUUGUACUCAAGGCCUUGUCAAAGUAGUUCCUUCUGGAAAUCACUGAACUGGGGACCUUUCAAAGGGACUAAUAAGUGGAAUGCCUUAUUUUCUUGCUACUUUGCCAAUUCUGGUACAUUUUUUUGCAUUACAAAUUUCUUAUCUAGUAAGCAUGCACAUUGUUGGAAGCUUUCCUUAUUCUUUGCUGACCCGAGCUGUUAGGCUGGUUAGUCUUUCAUAACUUUGGACUCAUACACUAAGUUAUCUCAGCAAAGAGGGUGGUGAAGCACUGGGACAGGUUGCCCAGAGAAGCUGUGGAUGCCCCAUCCCUGGAGGCAUUCAAGCUCAGGUUGGGUGGGGCCCUGGGCAGUCUGAUCUGGCUGACUUAGUGAGGGACAACCCUUUCCACAGUGUGGUUGAAACUAGAUGAUCUUUAAGGUCUUUUCCAAGGUAAACCACUAUAUAAACCUACAAAUCUACGAUUCUAUGACUUGCACGUUAAGUUAUCCCAUCUAUGGGAGCCUUACUGUUUCUAUUUGGUUUUAUCUGAUUAGCCUUUGAACAGUCUCACUAACCUGCUAUGGAAUACUGGAAAAAUUUACUUCUGUUUAAUGCGUUUCUGAUUCUUGUAUUGACAAAUCCAGAUGUUAGGCUGGAAUCUGCAGGUUAACGAAUAAGACCUUCCUUGACCUGUAAAACUCCU